CUAGUUAAGCCAGAGUCGCGGCAAGCCCGAUGGGCUCACACGUUCCAGCACUUUCAUCAUAUCGGCGCGAAGCCGCGCCGCAUCCUGGGCGCAGAAACGCGCCAUUGCAAAUCCGUUCCACGCCGAAACGCCAACUUCCGCACCGAACGCAUCGGACACCUCGCGAAUGUGCUCAACAACAGCCUCGUCGCCGGGCACGAUCAGCGCCGUUCCGAUGGCGAUGCCACCGUUCGCGACCGCGCGACUUGCCAGCUUCCCCGCAAUGUCACCGUCGAGCCGGAU
rnacentral:misc_RNA from 1 species